rnacentral:rRNA from 1 species
GUCUAGUACUCAGAGUUUGAUCCUGGCUCAGGACGAACGCUGGCGGCGUGCUUAACACAUGCAAGUCGAACGGUGACCUCGAGAGCUUGCUCUCGAGUGAUCAGUGGCGAACGGGUGAGUAACACGUGAGUAACCUGGCCCCAGACUCUGGAAUAACAAUUGGAAACAGUUGCUAAUACCGGAUACGACACGAACGGGCAUCCGUAUCGUGUGGAAAGUAUUUCGGUCUGGGAUGGACUCGCGGCCUAUCAGCUUGUUGGUGAGGUAAUGGCUCACCAAGGCGACGACGGGUAGCCGGCCUGAGAGGGCGACCGGCCACACUGGGACUGAGACACGGCCCAG